UUUUAUGGAGAGUUUGAUCCUGGCUCAGGAUGAACGCUGGCGGCGUGCCUAAUACAUGCAAGUCGAGCGAACGGACGAGAAGCUUGCUUCUCUGAUGUUAGCGGCGGACGGGUGAGUAACACGUGGAUAACCUACCUAUAAGACUGGGAUAACUUCGGGAAACCGGAGCUAAUACCGGAUAAUAUUUUGAACCGCAUGGUUCAAAAGUGAAAGACGGUCUUG
rnacentral:rRNA from 1 species